CAGGCUUAGGUUGGCGGGUGCUAUACAUGCAAGUCGAGCGAAUGGAUUAAGAGCUUGCUCUUAUGAAGUUAGCGGCGGACGGGUGAGUAACACGUGGGUAACCUGCCCAUAAGACUGGGAUAACUCCGGGAAACCGGGGCUAAUACCGGAUAACAUUUUGAACCGCAUGGUUCGAAAUUGAAAGGCGGCUUCGGCUGUCACUUAUGGAUGGACCCGCGUCGCAUUAGCUAGUUGGUGAGGUAACGGCUCACCAAGGCAACGAUGCGUAGCCGACCUGAGAGGGUGAUCGGCCACACUGGGACUGAGACACGGCCCAGACUCCUACGGGAGGCAGCAGUAGGGAAUCUUCCGCAAUGGACGAAAGUCUGACGGAGCAACGCCGCGUGAGUGAUGAAGGCUUUCGGGUCGUAAAACUCUGUUGUUAGGGAAGAACAAGUGCUAGUUGAAUAAGCUGGCACCUUGACGGUACCUAACCAGAAAGCCACGGCUAACUACGUGCCAGCAGCCGCGGUAAUACGUAGGUGGCAAGCGUUAUCCGGAAUUAUUGGGCGUAAAGCGCGCGCAGGUGGUUUCUUAAGUCUGAUGUGAAAGCCCACGGCUCAACCGUGGAGGGUCAUUGGAAACUGGGAGACUUGAGUGCAGAAGAGGAAAGUGGAAUUCCAUGUGUAGCGGUGAAAUGCGUAGAGAUAUGGAGGAACACCCAGUGGCGAAGGCGACUUUCUGGUCUGUAACUGACACUGAGGCGCGAAAGCGUGGGGGAGCAAAACAGGAUUAGAUACCCCUGGGUAGUCCACGCCGUAAACGAUGAGUCUUCUGCACUCAAGUCUCCCAGUUUCCAAUGACCCUCCACGGUUGAGCCGUGGGCUUUCACAUCAGACUUAAGAAACCACCUGCGCGCGCUUUACGCCCAAUAAUUCCGGAUAACGCUUGCCACCUACGUAUUACCGCGGCUGCUGGCACGUAGUUAGCCGUGGCUUUCUGGUUAGGUACCGUCAAGGUGCCAGCUUAUUCAACUAGCACUUGUUCUUCCCUAACAACAGAGUUUUACGACCCGAAAGCCUUCAUCACUCACGCGGCGUUGCUCCGUCAGACUUUCGUCCAUUGCGGAAGAUUCCCUACUGCUGCCUCCCGUAGGAGUCUGGGCCGUGUCUCAGUCCCAGUGUGGCCGAUCACCCUCUCAGGUCGGCUACGCAUCGUUGCCUUGGUGAGCCGUUACCUCACCAACUAGCUAAUGCGACGCGGGUCCAUCCAUAAGUGACAGCCGAAGCCGCCUUUCAAUUUCGAACCAUGCGGUUCAAAAUGUUAUCCGGUAUUAGCCCCGGUUUCCCGGAGUUAUCCCAGUCUUAUGGGCAGGUUACCCACGUGUUACUCACCCGUCCGCCGCUAACUUCAUAAGAGCAAGCUCUUAAUCCAUCGCUCGACUGCAGAAGUGUUAAUGU
rnacentral:rRNA from 1 species